rnacentral:rRNA from 1 species
GAUGAACGCUGGCGGCGUGCCUAAUACAUGCAAGUCGAGCGAACAGACGAGGAGCUUGCUCCUCUGACUUUAUAGGCGGACGGAUGAGUAACACGUGGAUAACCUAACUAUAAGACUGGGAUAACUUCGGGAAACCGUAGCUAAGACCGAAUAAUAUAUUGAACCUCAUGGUGCAAGAGUUGGAGACGGUUGUUCUGUCGCUUAUAGAUGGAUCCGCGCCGCAUUAGCUAGUUGGUACGGUAACGGCUUACCAAGGCAACGAUGCGUAGCCGACCUGAGAGGGUGAUCGGCAGCACUUGAAAUGAGACACGGUCCCGACCCCUACGGGAGGCAGCAGUAGGACAUCUUCCGCAAUGAGCGAUAGCUUGAAUGAGACACGGCGCGUGAGUGAUGACGAGCUGCGGCGCGUAAAACUCUGUUAUUAGAGAAGAACAAAUGUGUAAGUCCCGAUGUGCGUAUUGAAGGUCCCUGAGCAGAAAGCCCCGCCAACUUCCGU